ACCGGUUCCCGUACAACCACUGAAGUUAAACAACGUCGAGCCUGGUCAGUAUCUCGAUGGAUGACCGCUUGGGAAUACCAGGUGCUGUAAG